UCGGGGGUCCGGGCCGGGGGGCGCGCAGCCGAGCCCCGCCGCCGCUUGGGCCCGCUCCCCCCGGGAAGGGCCGUCCGAACGGGAGCGGCUCCACCGACCCCAGCGCAGGUCGGCCGGACCCCGGGGGGACCCCGGCCCACCCCACCGCACCGCACCGGGGGGGGGCGAUCCGGGAGGGAAGGAGGCCGGACGGGUCCAGAGACAGAAGCCGGACAGGACCGGAGACAGAAGCCGGACAGGACCGGAGAUAGAGGCCAUUCAGGUCCA